AACGAACGCUGGCGGCAUGCCUAACACAUGCAAGUCGAACGAGACCUUCGGGUCUAGUGGCGCACGGGUGCGUAACGCGUGGGAACCUGCCCUUAGGUUCGGAAUAACUCCCCGAAAGGGGUGCUAAUACCGGAUAAUGUCUUCGGACCAAAGAUUUAUCGCCUUUGGAUGGGCCCGCGUUGGAUUAGCUAGUUGGUAGGGUAAAAGCCUACCAAGGCGACGAUCCAUAGCUGGUCUGAGAGGAUGAUCAGCCACACUGGGACUGAGACACGGCCCAGACUCCUACGGGAGGCAGGAGUGGGGAAUAUUGGACGAGGGGCGAAAGCCUGAUCAAGCAAUGCCGCGUGAGUGAUGAAGGCCUUAGGGUUGUAAAGCUCUUUUACCCGGGAUGAUAAUGACAGUACCGGGAGAAUAAGCUCCGGCUAACUCCGUG
rnacentral:rRNA from 1 species